CCUACGGGAGGCUGCAGUGGGGAAUAUUGGACAAUGGGGGGAACCCUGAUCCAGCCAUGCCGCGUGUGUGAAGAAGGCCCUCGGGUUGUAAAGCACUUUCAGUGAGGAAGAACGCCUGGUGGUUAAUACCCAUCAGGAAAGACAUCACUCACAGAAGAAGCACCGGCUAACUCCGUGCCAGCAGCCGCGGUAAUACGGAGGGUGCGAGCGUUAAUCGGAAUUACUGGGCGUAAAGCGCGCGUAGGUGGCUUGAUAAGCCGGUUGUGAAAGCCCCGGGCUCAACCUGGGAACGGCAUCCGGAACUGUCAAGCUAGAGUGCAGGAGAGGAAGGUAGAAUUCCCGGUGUAGAGGUGAAAUGCGUAGAGAUCGGGAGGAAUACCAGUGGCGAAGGCGGCCUUCUGGACUGACACUGACACUGAGGUGCGAAAGCGUGGGUAGCAAACAGGAUUAGAUACCCGUGUAGUC
rnacentral:rRNA from 1 species